GAUGAAGAACGUAGCGAAAUGCGAUAAGUAAUGUGAAUUGCAGAAUUCAGUGAAUCAUCGAAUCUUUGAACGCACAUUGCGCCCCUUGGUAUUCCGAGGGGCAUGCCUGUUCGAGCGUCAUUAUAACCCCUCAAGCUCAGCUUGGUGUUGGGGCCUGCUGCACUGGCAGCCCUUAAAAUCAGUGGCGGCGCCAUCUGGCUCUAAGCGUAGUAAUUCUUCUCGCUAUGGAGUCCUGGUGGAUGCUUGCCAUCAACCCCCAAUUUUUCUAUGGUUGACCUCGGAUCAGGUAGGGAUACCCGCUGAACUUAAGCAUAUCAAUAAGAGGA
rnacentral:misc_RNA from 1 species